rnacentral:rRNA from 1 species
GUAAAGGGCGCGUAGGCGGAUCGUUAAGUCAGAGGUGAAAUCCCAGGGCUCAACCCUGGAACUGCCUUUGAUACUGGCGAUCUUGAGUAUGAGAGAGGUAUGUGGAACUCCGAGUGUAGAGGUGAAAUUCGUAGAUAUUCGGAAGAACACCAGUGGCGAAGGCGACAUACUGGCUCAUUACUGACGCUGAGGCGCGAAAGCGUGGGGAGCAAACAGGAUUAG